rnacentral:rRNA from 1 species
AUUGAACGCUGGCGGCAGGCCUAACACAUGCAAGUCGAACGAGCGGCGGACGGGUGAGUAAUGUCUGGGAAACUGCCUGAUGGAGGGGGAUAACUACUGGAAACGGUAGCUAAUACCGCAUACCAUCAGAUGUGCCCAGAUGGGAUUAGCUAGUAGGUGGGGUAACGGCUCACCUAGGCGACGAUCCCUAGCUGGUCUGCGAGGAUGACCAGCCACACUGGAACUAGGGCACGGUCCAGACUCCUACGGUAGGCAGCAUGGGGGAAGAUUGCACAAGGGGCGCAAGCCUGAUGCAGCCAUGCCGCGUGGGUUAAGAAGGCCUUCGGGUUGUAAAGCACUUUCAGCGAGGAGGCGUUCUCGCAUAAAAGCACCGGCUAACUCCGUGCCAGCAGCCGCGGUAAUUC